AGAUUGAACGCUGGCGGCAGGCCUAACACAUGCAAGUCGAGCGGUAGAGAGGUGCUUGCACCUCUUGAGAGCGGCGGACGGGUGAGUAAUGCCUAGGAAUCUGCCUAGUGGUGGGGGAUAACGUUCGGAAACGGACGCUAAUACCGCAUACGUCCUACGGGAGAAAGCGGGGGACCUUCGGGCCUCGCGCCAUUAGAUGAGCCUAGGUCGGAUUAGCUAGUUGGUGAGGUAAUGGCUCACCAAGGCGGCGAUCCGUAACUGGUCUGAGAGGAUGAUCAGUCACACUGGAACUGAGACACGGUCAG
rnacentral:rRNA from 1 species